CACUCCUGCGGGAGGCAGCAGUGGGGAAUUUUGGACAAUGGGCGAAAGCCUGAUCCAGCAAUGCCGCGUGAGUGAAGAAGGCCUUCGGGUUGUAAAGCUCUUUUGUCAGGGAAGAAACGGUGAAAGCUAAUAUCUUUUGCUAAUGACGGUACCUGAAGAAUAAGCACCGGCUAACUACGUGCCAGCAGCCGCGGUAAUACGUAGGGUGCAAGCGUUAAUCGGAAUUACUGGGCGUAAAGCGUGCGCAGGCGGUUUUGUAAGUCUGAUGUGAAAUCCCCGGGCUCAACCUGGGAAUUGCAUUGGAGACGGCAAGGCUAGAAUCUGGCAGAGGGGGGUAGAAUUCCACGUGUAGCAGUGAAAUGCGUAGAUAUGUGGAGGAACACCGAUGGCGAAGGCAGCCCCCUGGGUCAAGAUUGACGCUCAUGCACGAAAGCGUGGGGAGCAAACAGGAUUAGAAACCCCGGUAGUCCCA
rnacentral:rRNA from 1 species